GGGGGACAACCCGCCGAAAGGCGGGCUAAACCCGCGUACAUGCCACCGGGGCAUCCCGGAGGCAGGAAAGGCUUCGGCCGGACAGGGAUGGGCAUGCGGCGCAUUAGGCAGUAGGCGGGGUAACGGCCCACCUAACCGACGAUGCGUAGGGGUUCUGAGAGGAAGGUCCCCCACACUGGUACUGAGACACGGACCAGACUCCUACGGGAGGCAGCAGUGAGGAAUAUUGGUCAAUGGUCGGGAGACUGAACCAGCCAAGCCGCGUGAGGGAUGAAGGUACAGAGUAUCGUAAACCUCUUUUGUCAGGGAACAAAGGCGGGGACGUGUCCCCGGAUGAGUGUACCUGAAGAAAAAGCAUCGGCUAACUCCGUGCCAGCAGCCGCGGUAAUACGGAGGAUGCGAGCGUUAUCCGGAUUUAUUGGGUUUAAAGGGUGCGCAGGCGGUCUGUUAAGUCAGCGGUCAAAGCCCGGGGCUCAACCCCGGCCCGCCGUUGAAACUGGCAGUCUUGAGUUGGAGAGAAGUAUGCGGAAUGCGCGGUGUAGCGGUGAAAUGCAUAGAUAUCGCGCAGAACUCCGAUUGCGAAGGCAGCAUGCCGGCUCCACACUGACGCUGAGGCACGAAAGCGUGGGUAUCGAACAGGAUUAGAUACCCUGGUAGUCCACGCAGUAAAC
rnacentral:rRNA from 1 species